rnacentral:lncRNA from 1 species
AUGUACACUCACGGCCUCUGCUGUCACAUCAUCACACCACAUGAGUGCCUUGUCGUCUAUACCAACAAUCAACGAAGUUUAAGAUUUUGUUUGAUCUUGUCUACAAGAAUCAAUGUCUAAUCAUCCUUACCUUGUACGUUUGUAUCCACUUUACCUUCAGAGUGGUGUUUUGUCACGGUGUGUGCUCUCGACCGUAGUCGGCUUUCGAUAGUGUAGUUGAAAAGGAAUUAACAUUAUUCUAUGUUUAAUGUUUGGGGGCAAUCAAGCUUGUUCUCUUCAAAGGCUAAUUAGUUCAACAGCAUGACUCUAGAUAAGAGGAGUUGUAUGCCCCAAAAAAAAGUUGUUUCAGCAUUGUUAAAAUUUCUGUGUAGAUCCUUUUGAGUUACUUUUACUAUACCCUUUACUUGUUUGUAGUUGUAUGUUACCAAGUUUAUCAAUAAACCAGCUGUUCUCACUUACUUAGUGAGCCUUUCUAGAAAAAUUGCUUUUUUUGAAUGACCGUGGUGUUCUUUUCUUCCUUUCUUCCCAUAAGAAAAAUGGAUAUUUUAUGGACUUGUAAUUUCCCUAUGCAGGACCUUAUAUUGGUUUGUCUUUGGUCUCUUGUUCACAAAGAUGGGAGCUGGUAAGUUUUUUGCUUUGUAUGUUGGAUUGUGAUUCUUGUUUGCUAUUUUUUUCACAUUUAUCAUCCAUUCAUCCUAUUUUAUGAUGAAGGCUAACUGAAACAAUAUCAUGUCCAUAGAUUUACCAUCUUCAAAUUGCAAUCAAAAUUGCAAACUGAAUAUAUUCAUAGGAUUUUAGUGAUUCAUAGGGUCGAAAUCUUGGCAUAUUCCAGUUUUAAUUCUGGAAACAGAAUUUUGCUAAAUGACAGUACGUAUUUGUUCUAUAUGAUCAUGUAACUUUUUUUAGCUAGCAAUUUUCAGUAUGCUUAUGUGCAGAAGUUGCUUGAACUGACAUGUUGGUAUGAAAUUUCUUGUUGAUAUACAGGACAGCAGAUGUGAAAACCACCUAGCGAAGUUUACAGGUUCCAGAAAAGCUAGUUGCUUCCUAAACUUCAAAGUGCUUCCAGGAAACUAGUUGUGUAUCCUUUAUUAAUAUUUGGAACGUCCAACUCAUGCCUAAUCUACAAAACCAGUGCUUGAGCACCGAGCACGAGUUGGUCUGAAAUGUUUUACUCAAGGAUAUCCUUCACAAAUGUAUGGUCACAGAUCAUAGUAGUUUCUUAGCUAGCUUCUAGUGUUAAUAAAAAUCUAUGGAAUGAAUUAAUCCUGGAGGCCGGUUUCAAGAUGUCACUGUGCAUGAUAUCGUGGCGACCGACAUAGACAGUCAGUAGUCAGAACCGAUGUAUCAACUAGCUAGAAAGAAUACCGUUGGGGUGAAGUUCUAAUUAAUGGAUCAACUAGCUAGAAAGAAUACGGUUGGGGUGAAGUUCUACUUGAUGGAUCAAUUUUUUUUCCUUUUAUCUGUAUUUCAUCUUCUGCAUUUAUGUGCUAACACAAUUCUUACAUUCACUGCACUUUAGAUGUAGAGAACAUAUUGUACGUACGUGUGAGAACAUUGCAGGGAUCAUAUGUGCUUGUAAUGAUAAUAUUUGUUUCCUCUUUUAUAUUGGUUUAAAUUGCUUGUUUCUGCUGGGAAAAA